AAUAACCAAAUUUAAGACUUGGGGUAAACGUCAAAUUAGUWAGUUAAUUUUCUUAUAUUACCCCUUUGGAACCCUGGUCAAUAAAUAAUAUCAAAUACUAAAAGAAAAGAAUGUAUAUCUAACAAGAUUUAGUGAAUACAAAAUUAUGAUCAUCUUAUUUCUAUUUUUUUU
rnacentral:antisense_RNA from 1 species